UACGUAGGGUGCAAGCGUUAAUCGGAAUUACUGGGCGUAAAGCGUGCGCAGGCGGUUAUGCAAGACAGAUGUGAAAUCCCCGGGCUCAACCUGGGAACUGCAUUUGUGACUGCAUGGCUAGAGUGCGGCAGAGGGGGAUGGAAUUCCGCGUGUAGCAGUGAAAUGCGUAGAUAUGCGGAGGAACACCGAUGGCGAAGGCAAUCCCCUGGGCAUGCACUGACGCUCAUGCACGAAAGCGUGGGGAGCAAACAGG
rnacentral:rRNA from 1 species